AUGGCGAUCAUGCACGGAGGCGACGGAGCGGUGCGGCGAGGUCGCCGUGCAAGCAGGAGACGCUGUUGGUGGGCGGCGUCUGACACCAGGUCGCCAUCGUGCCAGACGGUGAGAUCGAGGUCAAGGGCGUGGAGUUGCCUUAGAGCAAGUAUAAUAAGGCUGACUCAGCUGGCUAUAAGCCCUUCCACGUCAGCCAAAUCACAUCUGGAGGGGAGAGAAAGAGGGAGAGAGAAGCGAACGGGCGCUUCGUCAAGCGCCGGGCUGCAGCACAAGAUACGAGAGCUUUGCGCCCGCUUGCAGCCCGUGGCGAGCGCUAGAGCCGGCGCUCUCGAUCCCCUGCGCCUCUCCCGCCUCCCGCGCUUCUCCUUCCUCCUUCGCGCGCGAAAAUCAGCCCGUGCCGUCGCCCCAAAUAGCUUCCUCGCGCCAAAUCAAGCCUUCCAAAUUUCCCCAAAUCGGCACCUCUCCCGAACCCUAGAACUGUCGCCGGCGCACAUCAAGGAGAUGGGUCAGCAGUCCAAACGGACGCGCGCGCCGGCACCUCGUGAAGCCCCUCCACCAGCGCCUCUGCUCACCCCGCCGCCAGCGCAUCUCCUGGUCCCGCCGCCGGCGCAUCUGCUGGUCCCGCCACCGGCGCAUCUGCUGGUCUCGCCGGCGCCUAAGUCCACCCCGCCGCCGGGGAUCCCGCCGGCCUUCCCUUCAAAGCAGAGAACAAGCACUUGGAUCCCCACAAGACCACAAGAGUCUCUGGCGGCUAGUCUGCAGCAACCAAGUGAAUCGGGUCCUACGGCUCAAGGUCCUUGCUGGGCACCGCCUGCUUGCAUCGGUGACUCUACAUCACCUUGGUACAUGGCUGGCAAUAUGGACUACUCUGAUCCACAAGUCGGCUCAAGGUCCUUGCUGGGCACCGCCUGCUUGCAUCGGUGA
rnacentral:rRNA from 1 species